rnacentral:rRNA from 1 species
UCAGGAUGAACGCUGGCGGCGUGCCUAAUACAUGCAAGUCGAACGCUUUGUGGUUCAACUGAUUUGAAGAGCUUGCUCAGAUAUGACGAUGGACAUUGCAAAGAGUGGCGAACGGGUGAGUAACACGUGGGAAACCUACCUCUUAGCAGGGGAUAACAUUUGGAAACAGAUGCUAAUACCGUAUAACAAUGACAACCGCAUGGUUGUUAUUUAAAAGAUGGUUCUGCUAUCACUAAGAGAUGGUCCCGCGGUGCAUUAGCUAGUUGGUAAGGUAAUGGCUUACCAAGGCGAUGAUGCAUAGCCGAGUUGAGAGACUGAUCGGCCACAAUGGGACUGAGACACGGCCCAUACUCCUACGGGAGGCAGCAGUAGGGAAUCUUCCACAAUGGGCGAAAGCCUGAUGGAGCAACGCCGCGUGUGUGAUGAAGGGUUUCGGCUCGUAAAACACUGUUGUAAGAGAAGAAUGACAUUGAGAGUAACUCGUUCAAUGUGUGACGGUAUCUUACCAGAAAGGAACGGCUAAAUACGUGCCAGCAGCCGCGGUAAUACGUAUGUUCCAAGCGUUAUCCGGAUUUAUUGGGCGUAAAGCGAGCGCAGACGGUUAUUUAAGUCUGAAGUGAAAGCCCUCAGCUCAACUGAGGAAUUGCUUUGGAAACUGGAUGACUUGAGUGCAGUAGAGGAAAGUGGAACUCCAUGUGUAGCGGUGAAAUGCGUAGAUAUAUGGAAGAACACCAGUGGCGAAGGCGGCUUUCUGGACUGUAACUGACGUUGAGGCUCGAAAGUGUGGGUAGCAAACAGGAUUAGAUACCCUGGUAGUCCACACCGUAAACGAUGAGUGCUAGGUGUUUGAGGGUUUCCGCCCUUAAGUGCCGCAGCUAACGCAUUAAGCACUCCGCCUGGGGAGUACGACCGCAAGGUUGAAACUCAAAGGAAUUGACGGGGACCCGCACAAGCGGUGGAGCAUGUGGUUUAAUUCGAAGCAACGCGAAGAACCUUACCAGGUCUUGACAUCCCUUGACAACUCCAGAGAUGGAGCGUUCCCUUCGGGGACAAGGUGACAGGUGGUGCAUGGUUGUCGUCAGCUCGUGUCGUGAGAUGUUGGGUUAAGUCCCGCAACGAGCGCAACCCUUAUUACUAGUUGCCAGCAUUCAGUUGGGCACUCUAGUGAGACUGCCGGUGACAAACCGGAGGAAGGUGGGGAUGACGUCAAAUCAUCAUGCCCCUUAUGACCUGGGCUACACACGUGCUACAAUGGCGUAUACAACGAGUUGCCAACCCGCGAGGGUGAGCUAAUCUCUUAAAGUACGUCUCAGUUCGGAUUGUAGGCUGCAACUCGCCUACAUGAAGUCGGAAUCGCUAGUAAUCGCGGAUCAGCACGCCGCGGUGAAUACGUUCCCGGGUCUUGUACACACCGCCCGUCACACCAUGAGAGUUUGUAACACCCAAAGCCGGUGGGGUAACCUUCGGGAGCCAGCCGUCUAAGGUGGGACAGAUGAUUAGGGUGAAGUCGUAA